GGGCUUUGGGGUUGAACAACCUCGACCUAUUCUCAAACUUUGAAUUGGUAAAAAAGAGAGCUUGUUUAAUGAAAGUAUCUCUGGUAACGUUGGAGGUCCUAGUGGGCCAUUUUUGGUAAGCAGAACUGGCGAUGCGGGAUGAACCGAAAGAUCCAGUUAAGGAACCGGACAAGAGGCUCAUUGGACUAAUCAAAAAGGUUUGGUUUUUUAAGACAGCAGGACGGUGGCCAUGGAAGUCGGAANCCGCUAAGGAGUGUGUAACAACUCACCUGCCGAAAAGAGUAGCCCUUAAAAUGGAUGGUUUUUUUGCCUCGCUCCUAGACUGGUCUGCCAGCACAAGUUCAAAGAGGUGCUGGCAUGUAGGUGGGUGUGGGGAUUGUUUCGAAGCGUGGGGGUGACCCUGCGUUGAGCGGUCCCUAGUACAGAUCUUGGUGGAAGUAGCAAAUAUUCAAUUGAGAAGGUGAUGCAACUAAUUGAAGACUGAAAGUGGAGAAAGGUUCCGUGUGAACUGCAGUAGGACACGGGUGAGUCGGUCCUAAGGGGGGUGCCGGAAGGUUAUUAGAUAAGAUUGGCUGCCUUUGGCCCCGCAAGGGGUUGGGGUGCAGCAUACCCCCGAAAGGGAAUCUGGGUUAAUAUUCCAGAACCAGGCGACUUCUUUAGGUAGGUGGUGACACUGUGUGCACAGGAGACGACCGCGCGUCAUCCAGGAAGAGUUUUAUUUGCUUUUCUUUUUAAUCUGGGGUGGAUACUGGAAUUGCAUUAUGCAGAGAAAGUAUUCGCGCUGGAGAAUAAGUGGGGUGCUUUUCCGCCCUGCUCUGGAGCUGACGCGAGGUCCCGUGAAAAUCCUGUGUGCUGUUGUUAUUGGAAGAAGGUCUGGCCGUACUGCAAACCGCAUCAGGUCUCCAAGGUGAAGAGCCUCUAGUGAUAGAAGAAUGUAGGAUAAG
rnacentral:rRNA from 1 species